rnacentral:rRNA from 1 species
UAGCGUAUAUUAAAGUUGUUGCAGUUAAAAAGCUCGUAGUUGGAUUUCUGGUUUAGUGCGCUUGACCCGCCGCCGUUAGGCGUGUGAGUGUCGAUGCGCGCUUACCAUCCUUCUAGAGAACGUUUCUGCCCUUUACUGGGUUGGACUCGCAAUCUAGAACUUUUACUUUGAAAAAAUUAGAGUGUUUAAAGCAGGCUCGCGCUAUGAAUACACUAGCAUGGAAUAAUAACUUAGGACUUUAGUCUUAUUUUGUUGGUUUCUAGGACUGAAGUAAUGAUUGAUAGGGAUAGUUGGGGGUGCUAGUAUUCAGCGGCCAGAGGUGAAAUCCUUGGAUUCGCUGAAGACUAACUUAUGCGAAAGCAUUCACCAAGGAUGUCUUCUUUAAUCAAGAACGAAAGUUGGGGGAUCGAAGACGAUCAGAUACCGUCGUAGUCUCAACCAUAAACUAUGCCGACUCAGGAUGGGUGAACGUUGUACUUUCGACUUCAUCCGCACUGUAUGAGAAAUCAAAGUUUUUGGGUUCCGGGGGGAGUAUGGUCGCAAGGCUGAA